ACUCGCCGAGUCGGGUCGCGCAUCUUGGGCACGCGGGAGCCGGCGCCUCGACGAGUCCAUAUCCUGGACUCGGCGAGUCCAUCCGUCUGGGUGAAACCCUAACUCCCUGGGUUUGCUCACUAUUUAAACUCCAUUAUAGCCUCCAUCUCGUCACUUUCCCCUGUUAGCACUGUGAGAAACCCUAAACCUUCCUCUUGUGAGCUUAUAGUGAUUUUAUUCCAUUUUGGUGAAGGAGUGAAGAAGAAGAAGAAGAAGGAAGCAAGGAAACGAGUUCUAGUGCCAAGAUCCAAGGUCAAGGGUGAACUUAUUCAGGUAUUUUCGGAGUCCCCUUCUGGUUUCAUGCUUAAACUUCCCUUAGAGCUCUUUUAAGGGCUAUUUGAUGCUUGUUCCAAACUCUAUGCUUGCUUGAUUGUAUUAUUAAGCCGAAUCACCUAUGGAUCUGAGUNGAGCCGAAAUACCUAUGGAUCUGAGUGUUGGGGUGUUGAAGAGUCCAGAUCCACUGUCUUUUUGGGGUUACAUUGCUUAUUAGCCAUGGAUCUACCCUUAUUGUGCAUAUUUUAGCCUUAUUUCCCUCAUUCAUGUAGUUGUGCACGUAAAGUUGGAAACUUUACGUGGUAAAACAGCUUAAUGGACCUAGAUCUAUCAUUUGCAUGUGUUGGAUUCAAGAGAAAUCGAGUAAAAAUAUGUUGC
rnacentral:lncRNA from 1 species